CUGCAAAGCAGGCAGACCCACACACAGACAGACACACAUAAAAGACAAAAUUAGUCAUGCUUCUGAAACCAUUUUUUAAAAUUUUGCUUUUCCUGCCCAGCCCACAUUAUACCCUUGAACUCUUGCUGUUUUGCAAAACAGAGUUUACAUAUUAAACACAGUUCACCUGAAUGUAAAUAUUAGGUCUGUGAGGAAAUGAAGUAAUUAAACACUGGCCACCUUUGCUUCAGUAGAAUGAAGUGCUUCUGUUACGGUGGUGCCAGCCAUGUGUGAGGCAGCAUUCCCCAGUGUCAGGUUUCUUGGGACAGUUUCUAGUAUCAGAUAGGGCCCAACCUUAGACUGGGUGAUUGAUAGAUACUCACAGGAGUGUCAGUUGAUAAUUAUAAAAAAAAAAAAAAAGAGUCCAGUGGGUGUGAUGAAGACGGGUUAACAAUCUAUUUUCUAAUAUGUAAUAAAAAUAUUUAAAAACGUAUCUCAACUUGCAUCAAUCUUAUCUAUGUAUGGCUUAUUCUAUGUGCAAUCGGCGCAUGACAGAAGUGGCUACCAAAGAUGGGAAGUGUCUGUCUGGGAGAGAAAUGAUGUGAGGGUGCCCAGACAGCGGUCAUAGGAAAGUGGGGGCUAGUGGGGAAACCAAGGCCAGAAGAGAGUGAGAUUCAGCUCAUCUAGACUGACUGGGGCUAUUCUAAGGCUCUCCUCACAAUCCUGAUGAGAAAGGUUUUUGUGUUUCUGACUAGAAUAACUCAAUCUCAGUGUGACUACUGAUCCGCCGCCACGUGGCUUCCCGGACACACUGCUGCAGCGCCAACAGUGGAGAGGAGCUCUCCAUCACAACCAGACAGCAGAAGCACAGCACAGUGAAGCACACCUGCCCACAUGAUGCACAAUACAGGUAUUCAUUUACAACAGAUAGAUUUUAUGCCCUGUACAGGUAUGAACACAGUGAAGAUUUGACGAUGGUCUCUCUUUCAGCUGAACUCUGGAGUUUUAAUUACUGACAUUUUCUUGGAAGAAAUUAUCCUUUGUGGUUUUAAAACAUGUGGGCUUUUUUUUUUGUUGCUCAAGUCACAUGUUCUAACAAGACAGUUUUAAUAAGCCAGUUUGACUAGAUGUAAAGUACUUGGAUUAAAGUGAUAAUCUUACUUUGUGGCCUAUAAAUUAACACAUCUGAAUUUCUUUUUAAGAAUUCAGAAACCAGUAACUUCCAAACAACUUGAAAUUGAAUAAAUAUUUUCAGCAACCCAGGGGUGAACUAAAUGCAACAGAUUAUUCAACUUUAAAAAGUCUUACUUACUGUACAGAUUUUCCAUAUUAAACAUCUGGUAUGCCUCAAUUUUUUACUUAAAAGUCUCGGACUUUGAGAGCAUACAGCAUUUUUUGCACAUAUAUAACCAUGAUGUACUUUAAUAUUCCAAUCUUAGGUUGUGAUUUUAGAGGUUGUUUUGGUAUCAUUAAAUACCAAUGGGACCAAACCAGAAAAUUAAAUAAAAAUAUAAUUCACCACUCACACACCCUUAAGGGUCUAGAUUCAAUUUCCAAAAGCAUAAUAUUGGGUAGUUACUUGCAGUUGUGAAAAUAAUUUCAAUCUUGGAAUCUUGGUACACAGUCCCAAAAUUUAAAAAAAAAAAAAAAAAAAGGAAAUCCACUGUAAUCCCAGUGUCUUUAAAAUAAUGCUGCCAGCCCGACCCCACCUCACCCCACAGUCAACCAGUUACCAUGGUUCAGGAUAGGACAAACUUAGGUUUUGGACAAAUGAAGAGUUCAAUGGCUGUUAAUUGUCACAGGCAAGAAAAGAAGGAAAACCAAAAGUUGAUAAAUGUUAACUCAACAAUUAUAGUCUUUACACAGCUUGCCUUAAAACUGCUCCAGUUCAGACUUACUCUGUUCAAAAGUGAAUAUACAGAACGUUAGUGUAUCUCUCUAUUUAAAUCUCAGUCUCAGUACUAAUCUUCUACCUCCAUGAAACAUACACAACAAAACAAAAGGAAGAGCUAGGGAUUUGGGAAGAGGCACUUCCAGAAAAAAAGAAAGUGACGAUUAUUUCAGAUUUGAAUUUACCAUUUUUACCAUUUUUUCUGUUUCAAGGUCCCAGAUAAUAUACAUUUCUUCAUUAAUUAUUCAUUUUCUGAGUGCCUACUAUGGCUGGAGUACUCUAUUCGAUUUCAAGCUUAGAGAGAGAUUGAAACAGAAACAGUAACAGUCCCUGCCCAUCUCACCCUUCAUUAACUUGCUGUGUGGAAGACAAGCAUACAGACUGGACCCUCAUGAGGCAAUGGUAGUAGGGCCCACAGGGAGGUGUGCUACUGAAGCACCCUGAGGGCCUGGAGCCCACCAUGCCCGUGGAGAGAGGUGCUCCUGAGGAGACAGAGUUCUGUGCGUUCUCCCUAUGGAGUCCUGCAUUUACUAGAUUUCAAUCCUCUUCCCCUGACUGAUUUCAAUCCACACACCCUCCCACUAUUUUUUUUUUUUUUAAAUAAUAAUAGGCUUUCUGCCCCAACUAAAGGAAUUUUAGGCUUCUGCAACAAGUGGAGGAGGCAUUUUGAAGAUGGGACACAAAGAAGUCUUCUUUCUCCAGAUCCAGAAGUCAGGCCUUGUAAGAAUUCAAGCCAAAAAAAGUUCAUCCAUGGGAAAAACGGUUCUUCUAUCAUCCAGCACGUAUUUGUGCCAACAGAGCUGAGGGACUUGAGUAAUUCAAGAGGCUAGGGGUUGGGGGGCAGAUGUGUCCAGUGGCUCCCACAGCCCCGCCGUCCUGAAAGUCACGCCAGUUAAUGUGCCUCGGGGUGGAUCAGCCCUCCCGACAGAUGACUACUAGGAAAUUAAUCCCCAGUUAAUAAUGUGCUUUGGACCAAGUAAGUCAAGAUUAUUUUUCCUACAAUUAUACAAAGAUAUGCUUUUCCAGAAGGGAACUUCUGGAAAAAGAACAAAUAACACUAUGCUUAAAAUAUUAUUCACAUAUUUAGAGAAGAAAGAACUUAAAAUAGCAGAAGACCUGAAUACCAUGAUCCACGGUGCCCACCCCUGGGAGCAUGUCUUUGUGUGAGACAAGACCUAGCACAGCAGGGCUGGCUUUCUAAGGGUACGGUGAGGCACCACUGAACUCAUCAAGGAACUAUGCCUAGUCUUGCCCCUCUGGUUUAUGUCACCAGUAUCAAAGAGAGAGGACCUCUGGAUGCCUGAAUGAGGCAAGAACUAAUGUGAAGGCCUCAGCUGCCUUAAGAGAAUUAUGCCCUGAUCUGGCACAGUGACGAAUGUCUGUGGUUAUACUGCUCGUGCCGCUGGUGUGCUGCUGGUGAGGUGGUGGGGUGUGGGUGUCUUUUAAGGAAAGCGCUACUAUUUUAGCUCUCUUCCACUCCAGCUCUACAAAUCAGUGCAAGUCUAGUUCAGGCAGGGUCAAACCAUUUUGUUCACCUACUUUCCUGCCAGUGAUUUCAACCUUGACCUUCAAAAAUGCUCUGCAAGAUUAAAAGUGAUUUAAGAUUGUUUUCUUUCAGUGCAAACUGCCAGUUGAUACAACCUCUUCAGUUUCUGCCUGCCAGUAUAAGAUAGGGAAUUGUUGAUACUAUUUAGUGUAAAUAAAAUAAUUUCUUAAACAUUGAAAUACCAGUAACAGCUGGGGGAGGACUCACCGUUAGUCAAUUACACUUAUGAAACUUUCAAAUAGAAAUUUUAUUUUCAGUGGAUUCUGUUUUUCUUUCUUAACUGCAAAAUCAGCAAGUCAUUGGUUAAAAAGUAUACUCUCCCCGCUUGAAGUCAAACAAGUAUUCACCCUAAGAGGCAAAGUCCAGUAUCUACAGUAAAAACUGUAUUUUGAGACUCUAAAGUGAAGAGCUUAAGAGAAAAGAUCUAUUGACAAUCAUUAAUUACCUUUGCUCUCAAAUGAUUCAGACCUGACCUUUGGUAUUCCGCAAGGGCCUGAACUUCCAUUCCAUUCCCAGUGCUGGAUGUGGAGAAUGGGUGAUCCCAAGCAACAAUCAUUUGCCUUUCUGUCAAAAGCUGUCUCGGUUUAAAUGUACUGUAUUUUCUUUGCCUCUUCUUCUCAUCGGAACAUGUUCUAGUCUACUCGCCAGGUGCUACUUCUGGCAGUCAGAAAUAGUGCCACUUUUCAACUUCAAGUUUCUUACCAACCUUUUUUGCAUUCAUGCAGCAAGAGUUCAUGAAAUAGCUGCAAAGUGCUGGACACUGUUAGGUUGUGGGAAUUGCAAGAGAAACAGAGUUUCUGCCUUCUAGAUGCUCACGUCUGGGGGUGGGGCAGGUACAGCAGGGGUGAUCAAUCCACAAAAAUUUACUUUUAAAAAUGUGUUAUGGGCUGACUUGUAUCACCUCAAAAUUCAUAUGGGGAAGUCCUAACCACCAAUACCUCAGAAUGUGAUUGUAUUUGGAAACAGGAUCUUUGCAGAGGCAAUUAAGUUAAAAUAAGGACAUCAUCAGGGUGGGCCCUAAUCUCAAGUGACCCAUGUCCUUCUAAGAAGAGAUUAGGACACAGAUACACAGAGGAAAGACCAUAUGAAGACACAGGGAGAAGACAGCCAUCUACAAGCCCAGAAGGGAGGCCUCAGAAGAAACCAACCCUGCCAACAUCUUGAUCUCAGACUUCCAGCGUCCAGAUUGUUAGAAAAUAAAUUUCUGUUGUGUAAGCUGCCCAGUCUGUGGCACUUUGUUAUGGCAGCCCUCGCAAACUAAACACAGUGUGCUUUUUAAGGGCAACAACAAAAAAGAAAUAUAUAGGUUAAGUCAAAUGUAAUAGCUGCUGGAACAUCUAUCAACAGACUAAACAACAAACAAAACCAACAUUUAGCAUAAUAUCCAGUAGUGCUGUCAACAAAGGAAAUGGGGGUGGCAGUGAGCACAUCUGGGAGGGCAUUUGAUGGCUGUCAGAAUCAGCCAAGGAAGAUGAUAGAAGGGUGAGGGAUAAGUGCAGAAUAAGCUCCAUGCAGGCAAGUGGCCCUGUAGCCAGGUCUCCCUGCAGCUCCUAGGGGCCACAGCAGUAACAAGACCCACAUGAACCCAUGAGUUUCUGUGCCCUCAGUUUUCUAACUAGUUCAGAAUAUUAGGAACUGACAAUGACCCUAUCACUGAAGCUUUUGAGUGCUGAUAAUAUGAGGGUCAGAAAACUGGUAAGCUGAUCCAUCUAUCUAGAGUCCAUCUGUGCUUGCUGAACUGUAAAGCUGCCCAUUCUUCUUGGUGCUCAUCAACUGACACUCCAAACAUGGACACGUGGCUGAUACUGCAUUCCAUUCAUUCAUUGUCUGAAUUCAAGUUUGUGUUUUUCAUGAAGGCCAAUUAAAUUAACUUUCUUUUUGACACUUCAUUGAAUUCUCUAUUGUUGUUUCGGUGGUUUGCAUCUAGAAAAUUUAAGCGUUCUGGGUAUGGGAAUACCUCAAAACUGUUGUUUCAUUAAACAAACCAAAGUUUGCAUUAAUCUUCACAAAAAGUAUGUCUUCUUUUAAAACUGCUUUUUCCAUGUAUACAAUAAACAAUUGUUUUUGCCCAAAUAAAAUCCUCAAAACCCUCUAGAAUACUAUUCUUCCAGAAGUCUAUUAGAAAAUCAGAAAAGCAAAUCGUACCUUCAACAAUUGAGAAAACAAAAAUGCUAGUUAAAAAAAAAAAAGUAGAGGGAAGGAAAAUUUUGUUACUUUAAUUUGGAGAAUAUGCAACAGUUUUGUUUGAAUUCUGGGGAAGUUUGAGUGUUUAUACUUGUCACUGAAUAUAUUGGUUAAUGCAUCUUUUUCUAUGAUGCUAUAUUUAUCUCACUGACAAUUAGGUUGAAAAACAACAGAACGUCAUAAAGAACCACACUGGUUUAAAAUAUACUAAUCAUGACUUGUAUUUAGAUAUCCUUGAUCAAUUCUUAGGAAAUACCAAUUUUAUGCUUUUGGGUAUAAUUAAUAUACUUAAACCCACUAUAUAUUUAAAUAUUACUUAUAGUGAAAAUGUGCUAUUUCGUACUGAUUCUCUUGAAUGUAUUGAUAGUUGGGUAAGUUUCAAUAUUCUAUCACAGCAUACAAAUUGGAAAUAAAAUACUCAGGGUUUUGUCCCUCCCUUCCUUCUUUCCUUUCUUUUGAGGCUUGUUUUACUCUUUGGACAGUGCAUCAUGAAAAAUAACUGCAUUUUUAAAGUCUAUAAAGUAAUUAGCUCACCGGUAAUUAUUGCUUAGUAUAAACUAUUAUUAAUAGCUGACAACUAGUGCUCCAAAUGAGAAAAAUGAAAUGUGGGAAAAUUCAGAGACCAGUCCCCCAAGGUCCUAAAAAAUAUGCAAACUAGAUUAUUGCUUAAAUUAUUUUUCAAACACUUUUUAAGCUUUUCAUUUCAAAAUUUGCUAUUUAUUUUUCAAUGGCAUGGUCCAAAUACAGAAUCAAUCUAAAAGUUCUCGGACAUGUUUCCUAUCACUUCUACUACAUUGCAGGUAAAAUUUGAAUCAUAUCUACUUAUUACCUGUUUCUAAAUUUGUAUUUUCCUCUGUUCAUUUACUGUCUUUAUCAAUAUUUCUUUGGGGAGACUGUUCUAUGAGAAUGAUACUUAAAGGCAGGAUUAUAUCUUUUUGCAGAGGCUAAAUACACCACACACAUAAAUACUGCUUACUUCAUUAGUUAACAUACAUUUUCAGAAAUCUGCCAUGAAGAUAUGUUGCAUGGUUUGGUUGUUAACGACCAUAACUGUAAUGUUAUUCUUUAUCCCUGAUGGGGUCCUAUAGGGUUAAAGAAUGCACACACGGGUCCUUUAUAACUUAACAGGAUGGGUAUGCGUAUCUGUCUCCUGCAAUUAGGAAAGCCGACUAGGGCAGCACGGGUCCAACCUGUAUAAUCAAUUCUUUCUGCAGCAAAGGGGUAUAUUUCAUAAUCUUUCUGCCAAUUAAAUAGUAUGUGUCUGCAUGUGUACAUGUUUUAUUCUGCCUAACUAGCCAGGAGGUUGUGAAACCUAGUACUGUAAUUCAAGGAGAAUUCAUGCGCAUAUACAUACACUUCCUUUCUGCAAAAACCCUUUGAGGUGGUGCUAUAAAGAAUCUCCCUCAAAAGCCACUCUGUUCCCAGGUGUUACUGGUCAUAUGAGAGGGCCAAAUGUAAACUGAAACCAUAAAUGAGCUACAAGGAUCAUUUUCUCUGAACAACAUUACAUCAAAGAUUAGAUGGUGCCAAAAGAUGAUGCACUGUGCUGUCUCUCUAGAGACGUAGUCUUAGAGAUCUGCCUAACCUUGUGAAUGCUGCUUGGAGAAGAAGCACACAGUGGGGAAAACACGUUGCCACUGGAAGACAAAAAGCAAUGAAGAGAAAACAAAGUACAAAUGGCUGGUAACAGCCCAAAGUAAACCAGGAGAAAAAGCACAAGAAUAAAGCUUGGAUACAAAUCUUAUAAGUAAUAUCUAAGAGCCUUUCCAAACAAUGGGAAAAAAAUAAAGCAGCCUUUUUAAAACUUGGUUUGAGAUUAUGCAGUUGUGAGUGAACAAUAAUAAAGCAAAGGCCACAAUACAAGAUAGUUGCUCUCUUUA
rnacentral:lncRNA from 1 species